AUCGCUUCUCGGCCUUUUGGCUAAGAUCAAGUGUAGUACCUGACCUGCAUACAUAUUUGUCAGGGGGCAAAUGGUAUUCCCAUCUCUUGAAGAAUUUUUCCACAGUUUGCUGUGAUCCACACAGUCAAAGGCUU
rnacentral:snRNA from 1 species